CUCUUCUUGGACGGUCCACUUCCCACAACAUGGAUUAGUGCUAUUCCUAAUUCAUAACGACGAGAGUGUAGGUGAUUCACCUUAAGUCACCUGCGAGGUGGUAUAGCUGGCUGCAAGAGUGUGUUCGACGGAGUCAAGGUUCACUCGCCUCACCUUCACAUCUAGCAGCGACGUACCGCUUCUGAGGACACACUCACACUGACGAUGGACACACUUGCUCGUCUAGCAGUGUGUGUGAGUGGCGCUCUUGGUAAGCACACGAUGUAGGCUCGUAGGUCGGUGCAUCAGUACAAAACAGUUCCUUUGAACACUUUCCAUGCAAUGUUUUGUUGACUAAUAUUGAACUGUUACCUGUUUGCUCAAUAAAAAAAAAAGAUAAAACACAGAA